rnacentral:lncRNA from 1 species
AAUCAGAAAUCAAAAAGGUGACACUACAAUUGAUACCACAGAAAUAUAAAGAACCAUAAAAGUCUUGUAUGAACCAUUAUAUACCAACAAAUUGGAUAAUAUAGAAGAAAGGCAUAAAGUUGUAGAAAGAUAUAACUUACCAAGACUGAAUCAUUAAGAAAUAAAAAAGAUGAACAGAGCAAUAACAAGUAACUAGGCUAAAUCAGCAAUAAAAAUCUUCCAUCAAAGUAAGUUCUAGGACCCUGAUGCCUUCACUUCACUCACUUUGCCUUUUUUUUUUUUUUUUUUUUGAGAUGGAGUCUCACUCUGUCACCCAGGCUGAAGCGCAAUGGUGUGAUCUCAGCUCACUGCAACCUCCACAUCCUGGGCUCAAGCGAUUGUCCUGCCUCAGUCUCCCAAGUAGCUGGGAUUACAGGCACCCGCCACCAUGCCCAG